rnacentral:rRNA from 1 species
AAGACCUUGCGCUUUUGGAGCGGCCGAUGCCUGAUUAGCUUGUUGGUAAGGUAAAAGCUUACCAAGGCUUCGAUCAGUAGCUGGUCUGAGAGGACGGCCAGCCACACUGGGACUGAGACACGGCCCAGACUCCUACGGGAGGCAGCAGUGGGGAAUUUUGGACAAUGGGCGCAAGCCUGAUCCAGCCAUGCCGCGUGAGUGAAGAAGGCCUUCGGGUUGUAAAGCUCUUUCAGUCGGGAAGAAAAGGUUGCGACUAAUAAUCGCAAUUCAUGACGGUACCGAAAGAAGAAGCACCGGCUAACUACGUGCCAGCAGCCGCGGUAAUACGUAGGGUGCGAGCGUUAAUCGGAAUUACUGGGCGUAAAGGGUGCGCAGGCGGUUUUGUAAGUCAGAUGUGAAAUCCCCGGGCUUAACCUGGGAACU